rnacentral:rRNA from 1 species
GACGAACGCUGGCGGCGUGCUUAACACAUGCAAGUCGAGCGGUAAGGCCCUUUCGGGGGUACACGAGCGGCGAACGGGUGAGUAACACGUGGGUGACCUGCCCUCAGCUCUGGGAUAAGCCUGGGAAACCGGGUCUAAUACUGGAUAUGACUCCAUGACGCAUGUUGUGGGGUGGAAAGCCUUGUGCGGCUGAGGAUGGGCCCGCGGCCUAUCAGCUUGUUGGUGGGGUGANGGCCUACCAAGGCGACGACGGGGUAGCCGGCCUGAGAGGGGCGACCGGCCACACUGGGACUGAGACACGGCCCAGACUCCUACGGGAGGCAGCAGUGGGGAAUCUUGCGCAAUGGGCGAAAGCCUGACGCAGCGACGCCGCGUGAGGGAUGACGGCCUGGUGUAA